UCUAAUUUUUCCCGCGUUUUGUCUUCUAACUCGCGGCCGACACCGUGAAUUGAUAAAGUUUUUGCAUUAUUUUCGUCGUGGCUAAAGCCAAGAAAGAAAUUCGACACAUUUUAACACUUUUAUAAUUAAAAGACGUACAAACGAUGGAUGGAAGGACAAAGGAUGGGUUUGGAAAAAGAAGGCGAAUCCCAACUCAAGCAAGCUGCCAGCUUUAAAGGCAUGAUGCUAGGGCAGGAUGUAUUCAUUAAUACAGCUAAGUAACAAAAAGAUAGAUAAUAGUUACAAAUGAAAACUUGUUA